GACAGAGGUGGCAAGCGUUGUUCGGAAUUACUGGGCUUAAAGGGCGAGUAGGCGGUGAGACAAGUCCAAGGUGGAAUCCUUUGGCUUAACCAGAGAACUGCCUUAGAUACUGUUUCACUUGAGUCAGUGAGGGGAGGGCGGAAUUCCCGGUGUAGCGGUGAAAUGCGUAGAUAUCGGGAGGAAGGCCGGUGGCGAAGGCGGCCCUCUGGUGCUGAACUGACGCUGAGGCGCGAAAGCGUGGGUAGCAAACAGG
rnacentral:rRNA from 1 species